UCCCUGGUGGUCCAGUGGUUAAGAUUCUGAGCUUCCAAAGCAGGGGUCCAGGUUUGAUCCCUGGUCAGGCAA
rfam:Ovis aries breed Texel chromosome 1, whole genome shotgun sequence.